CGCGCGCGGCCUGAUUACACGCUUAUCGCUGAGCUAUGGACCUACAGGCACGAACGUAAGCCGGCCUGACGAGGAGUGAGCCGGCACACUCGGGACUGAGACACGGCCCAGACUCCUACGUGAUGUCAGCCAGUGAGGGAAUAAUUGCAUCAAUGGGCGCAAGCCUGAUUGCAGCGACGCCGCGUGAGGGAUGAACGGCCUUCUGGGUUGUAAACCUCUUUCAGUAGGGAAGAAAGAGUAAGUGAUCGGUACCUUGCAGAAAGAAGACGCACGGCUAACUACGUGCCAGCAGCCCGCGGUAAUACGUAGGGCGCGAAGCGUAUCCGGAAUUAUUGGGCGUAAAGAGCUCGUAGGCGGUUUGUCGCGUCUGCUGUGAAAAGACCGGGGCUCCAACUCCCGGUUCUGCAGUGGGUACGGGCAGACUAGAGUGCAGUAGGGGAGACUGGAAUUCCUGGUGUAGCGGUGAAAUGCGCAGAUAUCAGGAGGAACACCGAUGGCGAAGAGCAGGUCUCUGGGCUGUAACUGACGCUGAGGAGCGAAAGCAUGGGGAGCGAACAGGAUUAGAUACCCUGGUAGUCCAUGCCGUAAACGUUGGGCACUAGGUGUGGGGGACAUUCCACGUUUUCCGCGCCGUAGCUAACGCAUUAAGUGCCCCGCCUGGGGAGUACGGCCGCAAGGCUAAAACUCAAAGGAAUUGACGGGGGCCCGCACAAGCGGCGGAGCAUGCGGAUUAAUUCGAUGCAACGCGAAGAACCUUACCAAGGCUUGACAUGAACCGGAAAGACCUGGAAACAGGUGCCCCGCUUGCGGUCGGUUUACAGGUGGUGCAUGGUUGUCGUCAGCUCGUGUCGUGAGAUGUUGGGUUAAGUCCCGCAACGAGCGCAACCCUCGUUCUAUGUUGCCAGCGCGUUAUGGCGGGGACUCAUAGGAGACUGCCGGGGUCAACUCGGAGGAAGGUGGGGACGACGUCAAAUCAUCAUGCCCCUUAUGUCUUGGGCUUCACGCAUGCUACAAUGGCCGGUACAAAGGGUUGCGAUACUGUGAGGUGGAGCUAAUCCCAAAAAGCCGGUCUCAGUUCGGAUUGGGGUCUGCAACUCGACCCCAUGAAGUCGGAGUCGCUAGUAAUCGCAGAUCAGCAACGCUGCGGUGAAUACGUUCCCGGGCCUUGUACACACCGCCCGUCAAGUCACGAAAGUUGGUAACACCCGAAGCCGGUGGCCUAACCCUUGUGGGGGGAGCCGUCGAAGGUGGGACCGGCGAUUGGACUAAGUCGUAACAAGAG
rnacentral:rRNA from 1 species